rnacentral:rRNA from 1 species
GACGAACGCUGGCGGCGUGCUUAACACAUGCAAGUCGAACGGAAAGGCCCUGCUUUUGUGGGGUGCUCGAGUGGCGAACGGGUGAGUAACACGUGAGUAACCUGCCCUUGACUUUGGGAUAUCUUCUGGAAACUGGGGCUAAUACCGGAUAGGAGCUUCUGCUGCAUGGUGGGGGUUGGAAAGAUUCGGCGGUUGGGGAUGGACUCGCGGCUUAUCAGCUUGUUGGGGUGGUAGGGGCUUACCAAGGGUUUGACGGGUAGCCGGCCUGAGAGGGUGACCGGCCACAUUGGGACUGAGAUACGGCCCAGACUCCUACGGGAGGCAGCAGUGGGGAAUAUUGCGGAAUGGGGGGAAGCCUGAUGCAGCAACGCCGCGUGCGGGAUGACGGCCUUCGGGUUGUAAACCGCUUUCGCCGGUGCCGAAGCGUGAGUGACGGUAAUGGGUAAGGAAGCCCCGGCUAACUACGUG